rnacentral:lncRNA from 1 species
UUGAUGGAUGAUGUGGUGAUCUAUGUGCUUAACGAGACUUUUCUGAUGGUGAUGUGAAUGAAACUCAAGAAGAUGUACAUGGUGAAGUCACUUACCAAUGCUCUCUUUCUUUGAAAGUAGUUCUACCAACUUUGGAUGAGCGAAGGACAGAGGAUGCAAGAGUAUCUCAGCAACUUUCAGAAGAUCCUCAUGAUCUCAUCGAUAUU